rnacentral:rRNA from 1 species
UACGUAGGGUGCAAGCGUUGUCCGGAAUUAUUGGGCGUAAAGAGCUCGUAGGCGGCUUGUCGCGUCGGCUGUGAAAACCUGGGGCUCAACCCCGGGCCUGCAGCCGAUACGGGCAAGCGUAGAAUUCGGUAGGGGAGACUGGAAUUCCUGGUGUAGCGGUGAAAUGCGCAGAUAUCAGGAAGAACACCUAUGGCGAAGGCAGCUCUCUGGGACGGUACUGACGCUGAGACGCGAAAGCGUGGGGAGCGAACAGG